rnacentral:ribozyme from 1 species
CAAGUGGCAAGAGAAGGUCAUCAAUCGUAGAGAUUAAUCGAACAUUCAACCGCAAAUAUGAAGUGGAUAGGCGUCAUUCGUUGGAGACUGCCGGUAUUCCUAAUCCAGUCGAUACUGCAUAUGAAAGAGAGC